CAGCAGCCGCGGUAAUACGUAGGGUGCAAGCGUUAAUCGGAAUUACUGGGCGUAAAGCGUGCGCAGGCGGUUUUGUAAGUCUGAUGUGAAAUCCCCGGGCUCAACCUGGGAACUGCAUUGGAGACUGCAAGGCUAGAGUGUGUCAGAGGGGGGUAGAAUUCCACGUGUAGCAGUGAAAUGCGUAGAGAUGUGGAGGAAUACCGAUGGCGAAGGCAGCCCCCUGGGAUAACACUGACGCUCAUGCACGAAAGCGUGGGGAGCAAACAGGAUUAGAUACCCUGGUAGUCCACGCCCUAAACGAUGUCUACUAGUUGUCGGGACUUAAUUGUCUUGGUAACGCAGCUAACGCGUGAAGUAGACCGCCUGGGGAGU
rnacentral:rRNA from 1 species